AUGUCACCUGAAGCACUGUGUUUAUUCCUCACGACUGCAGCUGUUCUAACGGGACUUUGUCGAGGAGAUUCUGUCUCACAGACAAUGGCUUCGAUCGUAGUGAAUGAGGGAGACAGUGUCUCGAUGUUCUGUAAUUAUACCACAACAAGCAAUGCUCCUUACCUUUUCUGGUAUCGUCAACAUUCCAGUGGCUCCAUGGAGUUUCUGCUACAGAGGAGCAAAUUUGGCGUGAACACAGAAAGUUUUGAAGGAGACCGGUUAUCCUCAGAGCUCGAGCAUGUCAACCACACCAUCUACCUGAAAGUGGUGAAAACAGAACUGUCAGACUCUGCAAUGUAUUACUGCGCACUUUAUCCAGGACUUCGCAGGCUUGCUUUCGGAUACCAAUCAGAGAGUAGGAUGUAA